rnacentral:rRNA from 1 species
UUGGUCAAACUCGGUCAUUUAGAGGAAGUAAAAGUCGUAACAAGGUUUCCGUAGGUGAACCUGCGGAAGGAUCAUUACCAAUUCAACGGUGUGGUCGCGGCCUCCGGGGGCUCCCCCCGGGCGGUAGAGGUAACACUCUUACGCGCCACAUGUCUGAAUCCUUUUUUUACGAGCACCUUUCGUUCUCCUUCGGUGGGGCAACCUGCCGUUGGAACUUAUCAAAACCUUUUUUUGCAUCUAGCAUUACCUGUUCAGAUACAAACAAUCGUUACAACUUUCAACAAUGGAUCUCUUGGCUCUGGCAUCGAUGAAGAACGCAGCGAAAUGCGAUAAGUAGUGUGAAUUGCAGAAUUCAGUGAAUCAUCGAAUCUUUGAACGCACAUUGCGCCCCUUGGUAUUCCAUGGGGCAUGCCUGUUCGAGCGUCAUCUACACCCUCAAGCUCUGCUUGGUGUUGGGCGUCUGUCCCGCCUCUGCGCGUGGACUCGCCCCAAAUUCAUUGGCAGCGGUCUUUGCCUCCUCUCGCGCAGCACAUUGCGCUUCAGAGGGGUGUGGGCCGCGUCCACGAAGCAACAUUAUCGUCUUUGACCUCGGAUCAGGUAGGGAUACCCGCUGAACUUAAGCAUAUCAAUAAGCGGAGGAAAAGAAACCAACAGGGAUUGCCCUAGUAACGGCGAGUGAAGCGGCAACAGCUCAAAUUUGAAAUCUGGCUCUCUUUGGGGGUCCGAGUUGUAAUUUGCA